rnacentral:rRNA from 1 species
UACGGAGGGGGCUAGCGUUGUUCGGAAUUACUGGGCGUAAAGCGCACGUAGGCGGCUUUGUAAGUUAGAGGUGAAAGCCCGGGGCUCAGCUCCGGAAUUGCCUUUAAGACUGCAUCGCUAGAAUUGUGGAGAGGUAAGUGGAAUUCCGAGUGUAGCGGUGAAAUUCGUAGAUAUUCGGAAGAACACCAGUGGCGAAGGCGACUUACUGGACACAUAUUGACGCUGAGGUGCGAAAGCGUGGGGAGCAAACAGG